rnacentral:lncRNA from 1 species
CUGCCAUGCUUGCGGGAAUUGUUGUGAAUGUUGCUGUACUUAUGUGUAUGUACUGGAAGUUGCUGUCUUCUACUCAGAAGGAUGAGGAAGAUGCCACUGCAGAAGUCGUUGGAGAUGAGGAUGUCAAUUUUCAUCGGUUUUCACCUGCUACUAUGUCACAUUUUCCUUCUGCAAAUUCUCAGGAAUGGAACUCUAGAUUGGAGUCCUUGAACAUACAAAUCCCCCCCGAUAUGAAUGGAGACACGAACCAUGCUGAGACUCUUCGAAACCAAAUAACUUCAACUGAGACUGAAAUCCACAGUGACCAUACUAGUGCAUAUGAUUCUGCAAGGGAUUCAAAUGCACCAAAAGAGGCAACAACUGAUGUGUCUUCUCAGAAAAGAGAGGAACAUGUUCCUUCAGAGAGGAAUGCAUCCAUGGGUAAGUUGAGAGAAGUAUUUGUUGAGGAAUAUUCAGGAGAAAUGCAAGAAUUGUCCACAAAAUGGAAAAGGAUAUUGUGGAAAUCAUGUGUCUACCUUGUUACCUUAGGCAUGUUAGUUGCUUUGCUUAUGGGUCUUAAUAUGUCAUGGACCGCAAUUACUGCUGCUCUAGCUCUUGUUAUUCUUGAUUUCAAGGAUGCUCAGCCAUGCCUUGAAAAGGUAAAAUCUGUGAUGGUGAUCUGCUUUCUUUUUGUUACUAUUAGAAUUGCUAGCUAGAAAUGAUUUUGUCAAUAUAAUGUAGAAAUUGCUUAGUGAGGAAUGAAUAGUUUGUUUGUCUGUUGACCAGGUCUCCUAUUCGCUUUUGAUAUUCUUUUGUGGAAUGUUUAUCACGGUUAAUGGCUUUAACAAAACUGGAAUUCCAAGUGCUUUGUGGGACUUGAUGGAGCCUCAUGCACAGAUAGAUACUCAUGCCGGGACAGCAGUUCUUGCUGUUGUCUUACUUAUCCUGUCAAAUUUGGCCUCAAAUGUUCCAACUGGUAUGUAUGUUGCACUUGUUCUUUUUGGUCUGAAAAUUUUCUGGUUCUAAGUUUCACUGUGAAAACUAGUGGCUUAAUCUCUUUCUAACACUGCUAAAAGCAAAUCUCUUUAAUUUUCUUACAUUGAACUUGUUUAUAUGAUCUCAGUUCUGUUGCUUGGAGGACGGGUAGCAGCAUCGGCAGCUGCAAUUUCUGCAGCUGAAGAGAAAAAAGCAUGGCUAAUAUUAGCCUGGGUGAGUACUGUAGCUGGGAAUCUCUCGUUAUUGGGAUCAGCUGCCAACUUGAUAGUGUGUGAGCAAGCUCGCCGCUCUCCGCAAUUUGGGUACAGCUUAACUUUCUGGAAACAUCUUAAAUUUGGAGUUCCCUCUACCGUUAUUGUUACUGCUGUUGGUUUGAUACUCAUAAGAUGAUACAAGACAAGCCUUUUGGCAACGAAAGUUUUGAGUCGGAAUGGGCCUUAGUCUUCGUUGUAAAAUGUCAGAUCUUAGAGCCCAUGAAACAGCCCAAGCAAGGUGGUUAGCUUAGCUAGAGGGCCCAUAAGAGAUAUAUCUCAGCCUAAUUAUCUGUUAUGUGUUAUAUUUCUCUUGCGAUGGAGAUAAUCGAACUCGAGAGUUUCCAUUCUUUAUAUCAUUUAUAAGAUAUAGAAAAGACUAAACAGAUUACACCUGAUGGAGAUUAUAUAUAUAUUAAUAAUUUGCAUUUAAUGAAUUUCAGCCGGUUAUUUAAUUACUUCAGUAAUACUAAAGUAAAUUAUUAUGAUUUAUUAUAAACUAAUAAUUUAUUUAUUUGUAGUAAUUGAUUGAAAAUAUUGUUUUUUAAACAAAAAAACAACAAAAGUUGGUUUUGAAAUUAGCUUAAGUAAAUGGUUUUGAUUACCGUUAAUUAAUAUGAUUGGGUCAACAUCGCACGCACUUUUUCUGAAGUCUUUAACCGGUGAAAUACCAAGCAUGUGUAGGACUUGUGCACGUUCAAAAUGUUGACAUCUAAAAGGAAUUAUCAUAUCGAGAUGUUGACAUCUAAAAACAAACAAUAAAGCACAGCCACAAUAACUAAAACUUUAUUAUCAUCUCAUCCUCAUCUAGUACAAUUAUUUUUAUAUGUCUGAGUAUCAAAAUAAUAAUGUAUAAUAUAUAAUAGGGGAUAAUUUUUCAUUCAGUAAAUUUAUGAUAAUUUAUAUGAUUUUGAGGAUUGAAAUUCGAAACCUCUCAUUUUAUGUAUUUUUCUGCAAAAAAAAUAUAAGAAGACCAAUUAAAAAUUAUAUUUAUUAUUAUUUUGUAUGUAUAAUUAUUACUACUUUAUUUAUUUAUAUAUAUAAGAAUUUAUAGACUCCUAUAAAAGUAAUUCUCCAAUAUUAUCUUAAAAAGAAUCUAAAAAAUAUUCUUUUAACUUUAAUUUGAUUUUCAAUGACGAUUGAUUAUUCACAAAUCUAGAUAAUGCUUGCAAUUAGGAGUUUGAUUCUCUUAAUUUGUGCUUUGUAUAUAUUCCUAAAUUAUUAUUUUUUUUAUUUGAUGGGUGCCAAAACUAAAAAAAAAAAAAAAAAAAAAAAAAUCAUAGGUUUAUGCAAUAUAUAUGCUCCAAAUGUUCAUGCACAUCUGCAAACGCCUCCAAAUUAGAGAAUGUAAUAUAAUAAUUCUUUUUCCUAAUUAAAUCUCAUUUAUGGAUUAUUAGUAUAAUAUAAUUUCUAUUUAUUACAGUACAUAAAAAAGAAUAAUUAGUUCAUAAUAUACUAUUAGAAAAUAGAAAGCAUUCCUAUAUUCAUCUCAAAGGGAAAAAAUAUAUAUAUAUAUAUAUUCGUUACUAUUAGAAUUCUGUUUCUUGACAAAUCUUUGGCUAUUGAGACAAAAUGUCAUUCGAAAAAGAGCAUAUUUCCAUUAUCAUUAUUUUCUUUUUAUCCUAAAAAAAAAAAAAAAAAUGUUCUUAGCACUGAAAAUCUAUGGCUGAGGCGAAAGUUCUGUACUGUUUUGUUAUACUAUUCAAAUACUUGCUAUUAAUUGCAUAGUAAAUUGAGUUAUUGUAAAUAUGAGUUAUAAAAAUUAAAUUACAUAUAGUUUGAAAUUUUCAACCUUAUUUCUUUUAUGUUUUUAAUAAUAAAAAUAUAAAUAAAUAAUGAUUUCCUAAUAAUUUGUUUAAUUAUCAUUGUGGAAAAAACUGGAAUUAUUAGUUUUUCCCUGUCAAAUAGCCAAUUGUGUCCCUGAUCCACAUUUCCGGCGGUGGUCACUGAUAACGACGUGUUUAAUAAUUGUUUCAUAAUUGACGGUGCAUCUUCUUUUUUUUUUUUUUCUAAUUAAAAUAUUAACAUUAAUAUUUAAAUCGUAAAUUUAAUUUUAUUUUCAUUUGAAACCUACACCUGUACAAACAAUUAAUAUAAUUGACAAAAGAAAGGACAAAUACAAAUUUGGAUUUUAGUCAUUACUGGGUAUUUGACCUAUUUGCCAUGGGGAGAUGAUCUAUUCCAGAUAAACAGAAGGUAAACAGGAAAUGAAACUCUCACUUAUGUCAGCCAGUGAUCCAUCUUUUUCUCCACUUUCUGACUUAAAAAAAAAAAAAAAAAAAAUUGGAAAGAGAUAAACUUUAAUCCAAUCCCAUCCAAUCCUUAAUUUCCUAAUUAUUUAUAAUUUUAAUACUAAACUAAGCUUUCAUUGCUGCCUUUUGGUGUUUGCCGUGCAAGGAGUCCAACAGCAACUUGGUUCUCAAGGUAUAACUUAACUGACACUUUCUGCUCAGGUGAGUGAGGAUAUGUUAUGGAGGAUAUGUUAUGUUGGUUAUACUGAUUUAGAUUAAAAGGAUUUAGCUUCAGUACGAGGUUUUUUCUUGGGUUGUUUUCCAGAAUCCAGUUAUUUAAUUUGAUAAUGACAUGAUAUGUUAUUAUCUUUAACCUUUACAUAAAAAGCGUGUUUGAAUCUGGGUUUCAGAUGCAACUCAGAAAUUUAAUAUAUUGAAAACUGAUUGAAUCCUGUACUUUUAUUUCCAAGAACUCUAAAACAGAAAAAAAAAAAAAAAAAUUUGGACUCGUUAUUUCCUUGUUUAUUUUCGAAUUAUGAAUUUGUUAUAUCUUGUUUGUUUAUUUAUUUCGAAGUAUUUUGUUUAGUUAAGAUUUCACUGUAUAGAGAAAACUGUUCUUUUAACGUCUCUUUUUUUUGCUCUGUAUGGAGUGUUUGUUUAAUAUUCUUUCGUAGUUCCUUAACUUGUAGUAUUUGAUAUUUUCAGGUCUGAAUCUUGAAAUGGUCAUGGUGUCAUUUUGCCUCUUGGAUAAGGAUUAUUGUGGUGAAAAUUUUGAUAUAUAAGAACAAGAAAUUAAAGGUGCAAAAAUGGUUCUGGCUUCUUCAGUGAAAGUAGUUUUAGGUUCAAUUGCCUUUUCAAUCUUCUGGAUACUGGCAGUUUUCCCUUCUAUCCCUUUCCUACCUGUUGGGAGGACUGCAGGGUCCCUUCUAGGGGCUAUGCUUAUGGUCAUCUUCCGUGUCAUGACCCCAGAUCAAGCAUAUGCCGCAAUUGAUCUCCCAAUUCUUGGUCUUCUCUUUGGAACCAUGGUUGUUAGUGUUUAUCUUGAGAGAGCAGAUAUGUUCAAGUACUUGGGUAAUUUGCUUUCAUGGAAAAGCAAGGGAGCCAAGGACUUGCUUUGUCGAAUUUGCCUGGUUUCUGCCAUUUCGAGUGCCCUUUUCACCAAUGACACCUCUUGUGUAGUUUUAACUGAAUUUGUACUGAAAAUUGCUAGGCAACAUAAUCUACCUCCUCACCCAUUCCUGCUUGCCCUUGCCUCAAGUGCAAAUAUUGGUUCUUCAGCCACUCCAAUUGGCAACCCUCAAAAUCUGGUUAUAGCAGGUCAGAGUAAGAUUUCUUUUGGGGACUUUCUUUUUGGAAUUCUGCCUGCCAUGCUUGUGGGAAUUGUUGUGAAUAUUGCUAUACUCAUGUGUAUGUACUGGAAGUUGCUGUCUUCUACUCAGAAGGAUGAGGAAGAUGCCACUGCAGAAGUCGUUGGAGAGGAGGAUGUCAAUUUUCAUCGGUUUUCACCUGCUACUCUGUCACAUUUUUCUUCUGCAAAUUCUCAAGAAUGGAACUCUAGAUUGGAGUCCUUGAACAUGCAAAGCUCCCCCAAUAUGAAUGGACACACGAACCAUGCUGAGACUCUUCGAAACCGAAUAACUUCAAAUGAGAAUG